rnacentral:rRNA from 1 species
GAUGAACGCUGGCGGCGUGCCUAAUACAUGCAAGUCGAGCGAACAGACGAGGAGCUUGCUCCUCUGACGUUAGCGGCGGACGGGUGAGUAACACGUGGAUAACCUACCUAUAAGACUGGGAUAACUUCGGGAAACCGGAGCUAAUACCGGAUAAUAUAUUGAACCGCAUGGUUCAAUAGUGAAAGACGGUUUUGCUGUCCCUAAUAGAUGGAUCCGCGCCGCAUUAGCUAGUUGGUAAGGUAACGGCUUACCAAGGCAACGAUGCGUAGCCGAUCUGAGAGGGUGAUCGGCCACACUGGAACUGAGACACGGUCCAGACUCCUACGGGAGGCAGCAGUAGGGAAUCUUCCGCAAUGGGCGAAAGCUUGACGGAGCAACGCCGCGUGAGUGAUGAAGGUCUUCGGAUCGUAAAACUCUGUUAUUAGGGAAGAACAAAUGUGUAAGUAACUAUGCACGUCUUGACGGUACCUAAUCAGAAAGCCACGGCUAACUACGUG